UCCAGAUGGCAAAAGGCAAUAACAUUGAGGGCGCAUUGCGGAACAGCUAACAAAGUGGAAUGAUGUGUGGAUGGUCCUGUCUAAACCCAGCAGUAAUGCACGAUUAUUGCAUCAGUGACCUGUUGAAGAAUACACCCACAAAACACACAGAGAGACUAAGCCUUAGUCUCAGGGCUGACCUUAGGGACAAGAUCCCAGAGGAACGAUGCAGGCCAAAGCUGCAGCAUCAUUAGUGGUUUUGCUGCCUAAUGAGUAGCUGAAUCACACGUCUGUAUUUUAAAUACCAGUGUUUGUCACAAAUACAAUAUCUACUGCUGUGGUA